ACGAAGGGUGCAAGCGUUACUCGGAAUUACUGGGCGUAAAGCGUGCGUAGGUGGUUUGUUAAGUCUGAUGUGAAAGCCCUGGGCUCAACCUGGGAAUGGCACUGGAUACUGGCAAGCUAGAGUGUGGUAGAGGCAAGUGGAAUUCCGGGUGUAGUGGUGAAAUGCGUAGAGAUCCGGAGGAACCCCGGUGGCGAAGGCGACUUGCUGGGCCUGAACUGACGCUCAGACGCGAAAGCAUGGGGAGCGAACGG
rnacentral:rRNA from 1 species